rnacentral:rRNA from 1 species
UACGGGAUAAUAUAUUUGAGAGGCAUCUCUUGAAUAUCAAAGGUGAGCCAGUACAGGAUGGACCCGCGUCUGAUUAGCUAUUUGGUAAGGUAACGGCUUACCCAGGCGACGAUCAGUAGCCAAUCUGCGAUGGUGAUCGGCCACAUUGGAACUGAGUCACGGUCCACACUCCUACGGGAGGCAGCAGCGGGGCAUAUUGCACAAU